CCUGGAGAGCUGGGAACAGAGGCUGUGGUGCCAAAGGCAGAGGCGGCAGGAGUGGGAGCAGCCUUCAGAGGUGCGGAGACGGGCAGAGGCCACCGAGGAGCACCACCUCCCAGGGCUGGACCACGUGCUGGGCCACGCGUUGACCUCUCUCCAAGCAGCUCCUGUCUCGCUGCCCUGAGCCCUGGGGUGUGGUUCAGGAAAGGCCACCUGCGCCUCUCCCCAUAGGCAGGGCCACCCAGGCCUGCAGUGGUGGCAACUCCAUCCCAGUCGGAAGCCUGGAUGAAGUGCACAUCCCUGGCAGGGCCUUCAGGCCCUCUGGACUGACCUUUCUCCUGCUCUGAGGCCCUGGCCUUCUCAGGAUGCUCCUCACCCUCAUGCUGAAACCACCUUUGCAAAUGUAUGAUAGUAAGAAAAAUCUGACAUGGUGGACUCCAUCUUGCUUCUAUGUCUUUGCUCAUUCCUUGGUGGGUGUGGGCCAAGCUAACUUUGUGAGAAUUUGAUUUAUAGUUUAUUUUUUUAUUUUUAUUUUUUUUGAUUUAUAGUUUAAAUGAUAAUAACCCUUCUCCCAAACUGUUCUUGUAAAACUAAUGAAAAUCCAUCAAGUUAGGAGGAUGAGAGGGGCUUGAAUUUUCAAUAAUUACCAGUUCAUUAUUCUGGAGGUCAUAAGACUUGCAACUUCCCCAAUUAUUCUUGCAGAUAACAUCACUAUUGUAGAACCAAAUGUUAUGGGCUCUUCGGGAUGUCACUUUUCUGGCUGGAAACCUCUGUAGCUGGAGAUGCCUUUGCCCAAGUUUUGCUCAGGCCUGCUGGGCUCAUUCCACCCACUUGGCCUAGCAGGCUGUGCUUGGCUCAUGCUGCCAGCCUGGAUCCCAUGCCUGCCAAGGGCAAGCCAGGCAUGGAGCAAUAAGGGGUGUGUAAGUGAGUGAGCCUGGAGUCCAGCCACCAUGCCCAGUCAGGCACACUGGCUGCUGCAGCAGGGUAGGCAGCUCCGGGUGCAGGCAUGGGCACUGGCUCUCUGUGAGGUUGUGGCUGGACCAGGCACACCACAAGCAGCUUCCACGGCUGCCACUGGGGAACACAGUAGCACCUGGAAGCUUGGAGAAUCCAGGAACUACAGGGCUCCAAAGAGGGAGUCACAGCCCUACUUCCAGGAACUCCUAGUCUGGGCUCCCCAAAGGGCUGCAGCUCUUCUCACCUUCUCACCUGCAAUGUGGUGAGCAAGAGGCAUGUUUUAGCCCUGUUUAUGUUACAACUCUUUUAGACCUACCAUUCAGCAGGUCCCAAGUUCUUGUCCUGUGUCCAGGAAGAAGGAGGCAAGCAGACUCCUAGAGUGAGUAGCUCCUCUCUGCAGAUGGUUGUCUCAAUGUCUGCUCAGCUCUGGCUGAGCCUGGGGCUUUUAUGGGCUUCAAAAGGGAGAAAGUCCACGCCAGUUGGUCUGUGGUCAGCUGUUGGUAGCCAUGGGCGGGCCCAGGAAAGACACCACAAGUUCCCACUCUGGUCCAUGGGACUGGCAGCCCAGCCCCCAGUCUUCAGGCCCUCCCUGGCCUGAAGGUGGGGCCUCACUGGGAACCCUUCCCCAUCCACCCAGGAGCCUCUCUGCCUCCUGCUGCCAUUCAUAGUGCCCAGGCUAUUCAUGCCAGGGGUGCCUGUAGGCCAUCGCCGAGCUGCCUUCAGCCAACCCUUAACUUCCCUCCCAUGCUUCUUGGCACCCAAAGUCCAGAGAGGGCCAAGCCAGCAGGGGGUUGGUGUGUCAGCACUGCCCUGAGUGUGCGCACACCCAGCUGGGCUAUAUCAGUGCCUGGGCUUGGCCCCAACCCCACUUGAAGAUUGGAGUGGGAGCCAGGAGUCAGGAGAGGCCAGGCAGUGGGAGCAGACAACUCAGCCUUCAGGGGCAGGAGGGGGCCUUCUCGGGACCCUGAGAGUGCAAAGAUGCCUGGCUCUGCAGCUGUGGCAAAGGCAGGGCUCCUGUCUGCUCCCGGUCCCUCCAAGAGCACAGGGAGGCCUGGUUUCGCAGCCACAACUUGGGCAGCUGUAGCUGCACCCGGGGAGCUCCCGCCCCACCAACUUGUAAGGGGCAGGGCUCCCACUUAUCCCUGGCUCCUACUGGCUCUGUGGAGUGUGCAGUCCCAGCUGUGCCUCCCUGCUGGAACCAGCAUGAUGGCAGUGGCCUCUCCAGAUGAGCCGCUGCUGCUGUCACUAAGUUUGGCCGUUUGAGAUGUCUUUUUAGGUUUUCACAUUUCUGAUGACUGUGACUGGACCUGCAAGCCAGUCCUGUGGCCCCACCCAGCAGCCGACUCAGCACAAGAGGACAGCUUCCAUUCCCUAUGAUUUCAUCUCCGACCCAACCAAUCAGCAUGCCUCCUACCUUAGUCCCCUGCCCACUAAACUAUCUUUGGAAAACCUCUAACCUUCAGGGAGAUUGAUUUGAGUAAUAACUUUGUCUCCUCAAUGGCGUGGCUGGCCUCACAUCAACUAAAUUCUUUCUUUACUGCAAUAUCAUGGUCUUAGUGUGUUGAUUUUGUUUGUGUAG
rnacentral:lncRNA from 10 species